ACGGCUGCCUCACUCCCGCAGAGGUGGACAUGAUGUGUGACUUGUGGCCUCUGGGGUUUGUCCCAGCCUCUUGUGUUUGGGGUCCCAAGGCUUCCUUGUCCCUGGGAUGCUGUAGUGUUGUCCCUGGGGUUCUGGUUUUGCCGUCUGAGGACUCUUGGUUUGGCCAGCACGGGGACUGGAAGGUCCUGAAGCUGUGCCGCCCUGCGCUUCCUUCAUUCAUGCCCUACGUGAACAUGUCCAUCGACAUAGACUCCACGCGGCGUGGCCUUCACACUGUGGAUGCUCCUGCGGCACUGCUGCCUUGUGGGACUUCAAACAAGUGUGAAGAGGCUGUGUGGCGAGAUUGUGGAACUGAAACAGCACCUGGAGCACUACGACAAGAUCCAGGAGCUCACGCAGAUGCUGCAGGAGAGCCACAGCUCCCUGGUCAGCACCAAUGAACACCUGCUGCAGGAGCUGAGCCAGGUGCGGGCGCAGCACAGAGCCGAGGUGGAGCAGAUGCAC
rnacentral:lncRNA from 1 species